rnacentral:rRNA from 1 species
UACGUAUGAGGCAAGCGUUGUUCGGAAUUAUUGGGUGUAAAGGGCGUGUAGGCGGGGAACUAAGUUAGAUGUGAAAUCCAUGAGCUCAACUCGUGAAUUGCAUUUAAUACUGGUUUUCUUGAGUUCGGGAGAGGAGAGCGGAAUUUCCGGUGUAGCGGUGAAAUGCGUAGAUAUCGGAAAGAACACCAGUGGCGAAGGCGGCUCUCUGGCCUAGAACUGACGCUAAGGCGCGAAAGCGUGGGGAG